UCUGUUAUGUCUAUCAUUUUUAUUAGACUUGCUUUCCUUACAGGCAACCCCCAUACAAGCCUCUUAUUGGGUAAUCUGCUCUUCAUCACCCUGUGUGUUUCAAUCCACAUAUUUACACGAUUGGAGCUGUAUAGGAAAUAAGAUCCACAUCAAUCCACUUUUGUACUCCCCCUCUGGAAAAUAUUUCACUGCUGGGCUGUCAGGAAUCAUUACAAACCCAAGGAGCCAAUGUCCUCAUACAAAUGCUGUCAACUCGCCUCCAGGACCAGAGAUGAUGUAUGAGCUGCGUUAGGCUCUCUGCUUUCCUUGGUGCUCAGAAAUGCUGCUCCUCUCUGGAAAGGAGGAUGCUUCUUGUUGCAAAAGCCUAUACACAUCUGCACUUAAGGAGCAGAGAGAUAAAGCCUUGAGCUGUAAGGACUCAUCCUCCUUCUGCAGCUGCACACCAUGUGCUGAGUUCAUGGGGUGUUGUGCAACAGUGCUGACAAGCACCAAGCACCUUGCUGAGCCAGUGAUCACAGCUCCUGGUACAUGCCACAAUGCCUCCAGGGCCUUUCUGCCAGCAAAGCCCUUGCCUUCUCUUAGCUUCCUGGGUAGAAAUAGGACAUCAGUGUGUCAUCACACCACAAAGGCAGUACAAAGACAAAUGUCUUAAUGUGAGAAUGUUAAAGCCCAUGUGAGUCUUCUAGGCAGAAGUCACUUCUGUGGUUUCUUUUAAAUGCAACAACAACAAAAACUGUGUGAUGGGGAACUGUUCUGUCAUGGCCUGAACUGAUGAUUGAGCACCUGGUGAAGGGGCUGGCUGGCCCAGGAAGCACAGGUGCAAGCAAUUCACCUUUGCAUCCCACAUGACUGGAAGGGGUGGGUGCUGGGUCCACCCCUCCCUGAGCUCAUUUAAGGCUUGCCUCCAAAGGGAGAAAGUUUCCUGUAUGAAGGCCAGUUCCUGGGAGGGAGUGUUUUACAGCUGGAUACUCCCAUCACCAGUUGGGUGCUGAAGACAUCUGUGUGUAGUGCUGGUCCCACAGUCACAGAGCCUGCACCUCCUGUCCCACUGUUUACCAGUGAGGGGCUACAUCUCCCAGCCUAAACACAUCUCUGAGGGGCUGCGAUGCACAAAGGCUGAGCGUGCCUUGGAAGUCACUAUUUUUGGAUCCUGUCAGCUGAAGAUAUAGGAGGGAAGAAUACUUUCCAGCAUCAUGGAGGCCUUAAAACCUGCUUGGUUCAUAGCCACAAGAAUCCCAAAGAAGCACUCAGACAAUUUGGCUCAUGAAAGGAGAAAAUCCUUCAAUUGCUAGGCCAUGAUAAUACCUGCAAGGCCAAAGUUGCCUUCUCUGUUUAAGUGUAUUGGCCUUUUGCAGUCUAUUAACAGCAUUUGAUGGCUCUUACUUUUGGCUGACAGCGGCAGAUGCAGGGAACUGUACCACUCCAAGCUAUGGGGAGGGCAUGAACUGCAGGUUUCAAUGAGCACCCUUAGAAUGUGCAUGGUGCCACUGUUCCAUUUCUACCCACUGUAUAGCCAGGGAGUCUGAUAUACAGAUGGGGUAGGAACAGCAGCUUUAUGUCCUAAUGAUAACCAACUAGAUUUUCAGCUGUGUGAAUGAAUGGCUGCCCACAAGACUGUAUCACACACCCAGCACGUCCCAUGCAGGCCUUCGAAACCUCAGCAGUUUUUCAAAGGCUGGAAAGCUGGUGGGGAAGAGAUGCUAAGCUGGCCUGCAUGUUGCCUGGCUCAGCUGAUGUUCCUCACUGUGAUUCCAGGCUACAGACCUGCUUCCCCACAUCUGUACACAGGAAAAUUACAUGAGCCUGCUCAGGAGAGGCAGUGCACAUCUGAUGUGAUGGAAGCCAAGAUGUUUCAGAAAUGCACUGCCCCAGGGCUCCGGGUGAUCAAAUUAUUAAAACUGAAGCUUGCCAGUGGUGUUGCUUUCUUGUCAAUGAUUUUGGCUAUUACACACUAGAAAACUAUCUCCAAAUUCUUGCCCCAGCCACACGUAUUCAGAGGAGAUGGAUAAAUAAACAUACUGGCCAGAAAUAGGAGACUCUGGAAAUCCCCUCUUGGCAACUGCUCCAUCUGUGGAUAAAUGCUGAAAGAGAACAGUGCAAAGGGAAUAUCGCUAUUGCCAGCACUGGCCUCCACUGGACACUGUGUACUGGACCUUAUCUGUAAACACCACCCUCCCUCCAGCAAGUCAGGUCCUUGAGAGAUCUGGCAAGAAUUUACAUCUAAGCAAUAACUGUAGGAUCAGCUGGGGAGAUGGUCCUUGUCUCAUCCCAGGACUGCUAUCAGGCUUCCUGGAAGAUGACCAGUCUCACAGCCCAAGCAUUCAGAGUCUCAGGUUCUCCUAAUCCUUUGUAGUGCAAAGUCACCUGAUGUGUGCAUUACCUUUGCAGUGCAGCACAAUGGAAACACUUGAAAGAGCUGUCCUAGUAUCCCAGCAGUGAAAACAAGCAUUGGGUUACAAUUAGGGUUAGCAAGUUUCUACACCUCUUCAGGUGUACUCUUUAAAGGAUCUGACUUGGCUAAAAGUUUUAGGUCUUGGUGAAAGUGACCUGCAGAAAAUACAGAAUUAUGUCUGAAAUCAUAGGCAUGCAAGUCACAAUUACAAGGACAUUUGAUUACCUGACUGAUUGUUACAGGUCACCGAUCUGUUACCAAGCACUUCUCAUUAUGUUGGAGUUCUUGGACUCAGCUAAUUAUAAACUAUUCUGAGAGCAAGCAAGUCAGACUGUGUUGAGGGUAUAGCAGUUACAAAAGCACACGUUUUGAGUGUCAGCAAAUCGCUUAGCUAGUCACCAGGACACUGGGAUGGGGGUUCUCAGGUCUAGGUUUUCUUUUUGCCUCCACCAUGAUGUGCUCCGUAACCUUUAGGAAGUCACUUGCGUUAUCUAUUUCCCAGAUUCCCUUGCAGCUUUUCCUCCCCUACAAUGGUAAGCUUUUCCAGGCAGGGACCUGGAUCUCAUUCAGGGCCUUUAGGUGCUACUGAAAUACAAAAACACGGCAAUCCUGGAGACCUUAUUCUUGUUCCACUUGCAGGCAGUCACACCUCAUCAGAGAAGUGUGGAUAAUGUUCGGAUAAUGUGACACAUCUUACAUACUUCCUUUUGAGCAGGGUGUUUAAGAUGUCUAGUAUGUGUAUUUAAUGUGAUGCUAAGAUAGUGUUCUUAUACUUUAUGGUUGUUAGAAAAGGUGUUUGCACUGACAGCCUCAGGAGAAACACUGGGUGCAAAUCACAACAGACAGGAUUGAGAGCUGGGCGCCCACUUUGCCAGCAGGAGAUUACUUCUGCAUUUCAUGAAUUCUGCUUGACUAAGGAAAGCUUCUUUGGGGCUGCCUCAGCUCCAAGCCCUAGAAGUUGCUGUCUGUAGAGGAAAGUGGUAAAACCAGUGUGUUCUGGUGAGGGACAGCUGAUCCAGCAUAUCACUCUUCUAUGAUCAUCAUUUGCAUUGUGAUCAGAUUUACUUUUUGCUAACCAGAAAACUGUAGGCAAAAAUUACAUCCCUGGGGAGAAGCACAUAGCUGACACCACUGAAGCGUGUUCCUGGUUUAUAUGAAAUACAUAAUUGACAAGGCACAAGUCUUGUCUGCUAAUAGUGUGCCACCUGGCAAUAUCAGAAGGCUUAGCCAAGUGUUAUUUAUCUUGUGUUGCUGAUGGUUGCUGGGAAUUAUUCUUUUGUUUGAUAAAAAACAUGCUAUUGAAGCAAAAGGAUCAUUUUUUUUAACCUGCUGGUCCCAGGAAGGCCUUAAUGCUUUUGAUGAAUAUUGCAAAAUGAACACACUGUUGAGUCACAUAGACCUCAGAGAAUCAGCAUGGGUCAGCAUGUUUCACAUUGCCAUCUAAUUCUUCAAGCCAGCAGCUGAUUUCUUGGCUCUGAAAAGCUCUCAGGUUAUCCAAUAUAUAACUAUCUCUUCAGAUUUGUUUUUCUAAUGGCAAGUCAAAAUAUGGUUUCAAUUUCAUCAGAAAGUCCUAUUUAUACAAGUGUUUGCAGUGGAGUUUUAUGGUCUUUUCCCAGUUGGAUCAGAUCAUUACAUUGCAUUCUGCUGAAGUUCGUGCCGUGAGUGCUGCAGCCAAUGCUGAUGGGCAGAGCACACCUUAUGUUCAGCCAUUGCUCUUCCUUUUUCUUCGUCAUUACCACUGAGGGAAAUAAUUGGUGAAAAGCCAGGAAGACUCCUUAAGGCAUGUUUCCAAGUCAGGACCUGGGAUGUGGCCAGGUAGCUUUCAGUAACGUGACAGGGAGCCAGUUUCCCACAAACCAUUUCAAGAACGCACCCUUCAUCUUCACAGUCCAGUUUCAUCAUAAAUAGUGAGGAUCCACGCGCACACACACCCACACAGAGAACAAAGCAGAAGGACACAUGGCAAAGCAAUCAAAUAUAAAAUAUGGGCAGUUUUGAAUUUCAUUUUGCUUCAGUGUUUUGGACCAUUUCCAUCAGAGAAUUCAUUUGGUUAAAUGCAUACACAAUGUGUUACUGUCAUGGCCAUGCUCAA